rnacentral:rRNA from 1 species
UACGUAGGCAGCAAGCGUUGUUCGGAGUUACUGGGCGUAAAGAGUAUGUAGGCGGUUUCCUAAGUUCGGUGUGAAAUCUCCCGGCUCAACUGGGAGGGUGCGCCGAAGACUGGGAUGCUGGAGUCUCGGAGAGGAACGCGGAAUUCCUGGUGUAGCGGUGAAAUGCGUAGAUAUCAGGAGGAACACCAGUGGUGUAGACGGCGUUCUGGACGAGUACUGACGCUGAGAUACGAAAGCGUGGGGAGCAAACAGG